rnacentral:snoRNA from 1 species
AGAUGCAGAACACAUGAACAUGACAAAAAAAAAUCCCCACUAAGUUUUCUUUCUGCUACUUCAUUAGCAUGCAGACUAUUGGGAACAUUU